AGCUUCGCACAGUGGCAGUAUCAUAGCCAAUGAGGUUUAUCUGAGGCACGAUUAUUGCUAAUUAAAAUCCUUUGUCCACUUUUAAAUUGGCUUAUUUAUCUCAUUAUUAUUGAGAUGAAAGCAUUCUUUAUAUAUCCUGAGAAA
ensembl:snRNA U4 U4 spliceosomal RNA